GGAAGGCAGCUCUGGAACACACGUGGGCUCGGUGGGCUCCGAGCUGCUCCGGGGGACACGCCGCAGGCCCCUGUGGGCUGAGCGGGCAUCUCAGCUGGGAUGGGGGGGACACUCUGCAGCAACACAGGGCUGGCAUUUCAGACGCUUCCUGCAACGCUCCCAAGUUGUGUUUUGGUUUCGGUUCUGUGUUUUCCACAGCCCCUGCAACGCUGUCCGUGUCCUGUUUCUUGGUCUGGAAGGUGUUUUGUGGAGGACCUCGCUUUGUGACCAGGCACUGGGCUGUCCAGAUGGGAUGUGUGCACUUUUCUCUUGUGGCUCCACACCCCACAUGAGGUAUAGGGGUGCGUGGCUCCCACAGGUUGUCCCCAGAGCGGAGGAAACAGGCUUCUGGCUGCCACCAGAGGGGCCUGGUGUCCAGCCCGGCGGAGGUCGGCAGUGCAGGAGAGGACGGACGGAGCACCCGGCCCUGGUGUUCUGGCGAACCUGCUGCAGGAUUUCUGAACUCCGCACGGAAGGACGUGGAGCGGGCUCUCAGCCAUUCCUGCCACCGCGGCCGGCGCUGCCCUCCCAGGGCUCGUAAACUCGGAAGGCGGUUCUCGGACAGCCCUGGAGCCCCCGCCCGGCCGACCCCAGCGUGCUUCGACGUGGUUCUCUCCGUCAAGCUGGCAGCAUCUGGCUGGUGCGAUGGUCCGCGCAGGUCAAGGUCACCAUCUGCCAACGGUCAGGAGAAGGUGAGGAGAGGCGUGGAGGUGUUCCAGAAUGCAAAUGGUGUGGACCCGCAGAGGAUUAGAGUUGUUGGAAGGCCUGGGCUCGGAAGCCAUCACUCAGGCGGGGAGGAGAGGAAUGGGGGCUCCUUCCCAUAGAGCGGGAUCCCCCCGCCCAGGGGACCCGCUGCCACUGACGAGCUCGGGGUGGGGGGGCAGGGGUUGUAGGCUGCCAGGUGCCUGGGGCUCAGGUUGAGGGGCUGAUACCGGGGGCCCCUUGGGCACGUCCAGGGCACAGAGGAGACUCCACGAGUCAGCGGCUUCUAAGUCUGCACGAGACAAGACCCUUCACACGCCUUUCUCCAUUCGGUGGGGGAAGCAGCCCAGCCUCCCAGCGCACGGCAGGCAGGAUGCUCGUUUUUAUUUUACCUGCUUUACUGCCUCGGCCGAAGUGGCUCCACGACGUCCAGCCACGCACAACCUGGCCUUCUGAGUUUCCACUCACUCCCUUGCGCACUCAGUGGAAACUCUUCUGGUGCCUGCUACGUGUCGUGGGAUGCUCUCCCAGACAGCGGGGACCCAAGAGCUUCCCAGCUCUGGUGGUUGGAAAUUUCUUGGUUUUAAGUUUCAAUUUCAUGCACUUUUCCUGAAACAUUGGCAUCUACGACCGGUGGCUGUAGGAGGAUCCCUCCAAGACCGUGUCUGGCUGGGCCCGAAGCGCGGACAUUAAAUGACUUAUGGUUCAUUAAAUGACUUAUGGUUCAGCGAGGCGGGAUUUCGGCUUUCUGGGCCCAUCCCCCUCCCCCACAACAAUGUCGGUAAGGGUCCAGGGUGAGCCCCGUAGGGAGAGAAAGGGCUCAGCUAGCAAAGUCAGCCCCCCACCGCUGCAUCGGCCCCACCAUUUGCCAGCUGCAGGACCCAGCGUGAGACACGUACGGAUGUCAUCAGACGGGAAGGGGGGGCACCCCGCAGAGGCCUGGCGUGGGGCCAGCACAGAUCAAUGGUGGCGGAUGUUAUUAUUAUGGUGACGUAGCUGAGUUCCUGGCAGGACUGAGCCAGUCCGGGAAGGGUCCCUGAGCCCGGAGGGAGCCCGAGAGACACGCAGAAAGCAGGGAGCUGUGUCUUGGUUGAGGCUGCACAUCCCACCUCUUUCUUGGGCAAGCUGAGUCAGUGUCUGAAGCCGGCAGAUCCUGUGGGGCCUGUGGUCCCUCCUACCCUCCUGGGGAUGUCAUCGGGAUGUAGGGGGAGCUCCUGGGAGAGGAGACUUCCUCAAAACCCCCCUCUGUGUGUGUGAGUGUUUGUGUGUGUGUGUGUGUGUGUGCAAACGCGUGCAGUGGGGGGAAGCCAUACACUGUUCGGUUGUCUGGGAGGAAAACAAAGGAAUAAAGGAAUAAAGCUCUCCUACUGGAU
ensembl:lincRNA